UACACUAAAACUCAAAGAGGAAAGGAAGGAUGUAUCCUAUUGGAAACUGACGAUCUAAACUAAAAGAAAGGAGAGUAGCAGAGACUUCAAAAUGUUGAAAACUGUCUUAUCACAACAGAAGCUAAAAACUCUGAUGUCCAGAGUCAUAAAGACAAGAAACAGGAUCACAACAGCAAGGAAAAUAUAGAUUAAACAAUAACAGAAGAGAGAGAAAAUUUAUGUAAUUUGGGACAUUCCAGGACAAAGAACAGAAGAACAGACCGAGGAGAGGCAGCACUGCACAUGUGCAAGACAGGAACCCACGUCUCCAGGAUGACCCCAGAACCAAGGAUCUUCAGUCCACAGAACUCAAAGAAUAGAAGUGUUGACACUGGAGCCCUUUACGAAGCAAGAAGUCCUUCAAUAAGGAAAAUCUGGCCUCCUGCACCGCAAGGCUGUCUCCACUACUCCUCUGCUUAUGGGUGAAUGAAAAUGGCCACCCCAGCCCUGAUGGGACAACAUCCUUCAUUUCACACGUCAGCCAUCACGGAUUAAAUUGAGUUUAAGCAGCCUGGAACAGUUUGAUGCCUCCUCCUUCCAGCCAUGGAAAGUGCCAGGUGGCUUGCCUCUAGAAUCUGACAUCCUGUUGGUGAGGAUAACAAUCCACAACUGAGAU